AUAGAAAAAGUCCUGGAAAAUGGCCACAGUUUGGUAUGAAAUGUCUAGGUGGCGAGGUAUCCAGGUAAGGAAUGACAAGACCACACAGUAUACACCUGGCCAGGUAGACAGCACGGGCAGUAAGUGGCGUGCGUGGCGUGGAGGUGUAAGGGAGCAUAGCGAGCACAGCGGACAGGCGGGCAGGUAGCGAGAGGCGGUCGCUCUACAUAAUGCUCAUCUGAGUAGGGAAACCAGGUAUAAAACGGCCACGUAACUAGGAAAUACAGGCUUUACGAUGGGUGCCUCCCUGCAUGGCAAGUGGGUGGUGGUGGUGGUGGUGGUGGUGGUGGUGGCGGUGCGAGGUCGGCGAGGCGGUGAGAGGCGAGCAGCAGUAGCGAGGAGGCGGUCGGGCUGGACGGACGUGCCUGCCUUGCCUGGAUCGUGAGGCGCCCCCCUGCCCGCCGCCGCCGCCUCCCUUGGCACUAAAGUUAUGAGUGAUCGCCGCCGCCGCGCCUGACGGUAACUGCCGCAUAAUACUGCGACGGGACGCCACUGUUCCCUUGAAAAGAAAAGAAUAAAAAAACCGGAGAAAAGAGGUAGAAAGAAAGAAAAGA